CGUGUAGGCGGUUUGUUAAGUCUGUUGUGAAAGCCCUGGGCUCAACCCAGGAAGUGCACUGGAUACUGGCAGACUUGAAUACGGGAGAGGGUAGUGGAAUUCCUGGUGUAGGAGUGAAAUCCGUAGAUAUCAGGAGGAACACCGGUGGCGAAGGCGGCUGCCUGGACCAAUAUUGACGCUGAGACGCGAAAGCGUGGGUAGCAAACA
rnacentral:rRNA from 1 species